rnacentral:lncRNA from 1 species
GUGGCACAUCACCAAACAGUUUAAAUAGCCAGCGCACCGAGCUGCCAUAAACAUUAGUUUUCAUAGAGAGAAGAGUUGAGUUGGCUGUUCACUAUCCGCUUAACAGCGUACGCGAUGAAGCACGCGCUGUUGGUUUUGGCAUCAAUGGUCCUUGUGGUGGUAUCGCAGUCUGUGGAAGAAUGUGACAAGACGACUCUUCUGGUUGGCAAUGGUAUGUGCACUGAAGGACCACUACCCAUUUCACCGGGCCAAACAUUAAUGCUACGGUGCCCAUGUGCUAACGUUACCUGUCAUGACCACAUGAGACGAGUUACAGUCACAUGGUGCUAACUUUCAGGAAUGGUUGAGCAGCAAGGACAAGAAAAUAAAAUUGUGUUUUCCCUUUUCAAAUAUGUGUUUUGGGCCAGUUUUUUAUUUAAAAUUUUAAAUA